UCGUACCUUUUGCAUCAUGAAUUAGCUAGCAUAAGCAAGCAAGGAGCACCAUAGCUUGCCACCCCGAAACUGGGUGAGCUACUCCGAGACAGCCUGUUUCAGGGCAAACCCGUCUCUGUGGCAAUAGAGUGGGAAGAUCUUUGAGUAGAGGUGACAAACCUACCGAACCCAGUUAUAGCUGGUUGUCUGGAAGAUGGAUAUUAGUUCAGCCCCCCCACUUCUCCACUAGAGGAGGGAGUUAGUCAAAGGGGGUACAGCCCCUUUGACGGAGGACACAACUUUGUAAGGAGGAUAAAGAUUAUAACACUCAAGGGAUCGCAUAUCAGUAGGCUUGGAAGCAGCCACCUGCACGGAAAGCGUUAAAGCUCAAGUACAACAUCCCAACAAACUUAUCCGAAGCCCCAAGAAUUCACCAGACCUUCCUACGCCCGGCGUAGGAGAGAACAUGCUAAUAUGAGUAAUAAGAAGAGACUUUCUCCUAGCACAAGCGUAUAUCAGCACGGACAACCCACCGAGAAUUAACGGACCCAAAAGAAGAGGGUACUGACCAACAACUGGAAAAACAUUCCCCGUUGACCCUACACUGGUGUGCAUAAAGGAAAGACUAAAAGAAAAAGAAGGAACUCGGCAAACAAGCCUCGCCUGUUUACCAAAAACAUCGCCUCUUGCUAGAAUAAGAGGUCGAGCCUGCCCGGUGACACUAUGUUCAACGGCCGCGGUAUAUUAACUGUGCUAAGGUAGCGUAAUCACUUGUCCUUUAAAUGGAGACCUGUAUGAAAGGUAUGACGAGGGCUUAACUGUCUCCUUUUUCUAGUCAGUGAAAUUGAUCUCCCCGUGCAGAAGCGGGGAUUGACCCAUAAGACGAGAAGACCCUGUGGAGCUUAAGGCAAUUGUGCAGAUCAUGUCAACAACCCACCCCCGGGGGAGAACUGAGUGAAUCCUGCUCCAGUGCCUUAGGUUGGGGCGACCAUGGGGUAAACCUAACCCCCAUGCGGAUAGGGAGCACUCCCACAAACCAGAGCUCCUGCUCUAGUCAACGAAAUAUUCGACCUAGACUGAUCCGGGCUAACCGAUCAACGGACCAAGUUACCCCAGGGAUAACAGCGCGAUCCCCUUCCAGAGCCCAUAUCGACAAGGGGGUUUACGACCUCGAUGUUGGAUCAGGACAUCCUAAUGGUGCAA
rnacentral:rRNA from 1 species